rnacentral:hammerhead_ribozyme from 1 species
AUCCAGCUGAUGAGUCCCAAAUAGGACGAAACACGCGUCAACCUGGAU